UAUGAUGGUCGAAUGGAUUCAAAUAGGUACAUGCAGCCUCAGAGCACAGGAGGUGGCUUUCCUCCUUAUGGUUCAUCUGGUUAUAGUGCACCUGGUUAUGGAUACAGUCCUGCCAAUAAUAGUGUUGGAUAUGGUGGUUACGGUAGUUAUGGUGGUGCCAGUGCUGGCUAUGGCGGACCUGCUGGUGCUGCGUAUGGGAAUCCUAAUGUCCCAAGUCCUGGGUAUGCAAGCGGCCCACCUGGUGCCCCUAGAAGCUCAUG
rnacentral:misc_RNA from 1 species